UACGGGGGGGGCAAGCGUUGUUCGGAAUUACUGGGCGUAAAGGGCGCGUAGGCGGCCUGCUAAGUCGGACGUGAAAUCCCUCGGCUCAACCGGGGAACUGCGUCCGAUACUGGCGAGGCUUGAAUCCGGGAGAGGGAUGUGGAAUUCCAGGUGUAGCGGUGAAAUGCGUAGAUAUCUGGAGGAAUACCGGUGGCGAAGGCGGCAUCCUGGACCGACAUUGACGCUGAUAACCGAAAGCUAGGGGAGCAAACGGG
rnacentral:rRNA from 1 species